CAACAAGACAAAGCAAAUUACACAAUAAGAGCCUGUUUGCUGCAGCAAGUCAAUAAACGAUGAAGAACAUGAGCUGGUUCCAGUAAUUAUGGCGAGAAGGUCAUUGAUGGAGCAGCUGGAGAUGGUCGAACCUGAGGAACUCCGACAGAAAUGACCUGAACCAGAGAUGACUUACGGCCAACUAUCAAAACUAUGUUCUUCGGUGGUCAGACUUUCUAAUUCCAUCAAGAUAUGGGAGUGUCAGAACCUAUGAAGAUAUUACAAGCUGGAUAGAAGCUAAUGAACAUAACAAUCAAGAAGCACCAUGAAAUGUGGCUCGAAUGCAACGCUGAGAGUCAUUGUGAAUUCUAUUAUAGGAAGAAAUUGCAUUGGACCAAAGUUGUAAAAUUUAUUUUGCUGUGUUCUAUCCUCCAGAGCUUCAGAAAAUGAAAAAAAAAAUCAGAUACUAGUCAGUUUGAUGGUCAGAGGCAACUCGCUUCAGGCUAAGGUCAGCAUGGACUGGAGACUGGAAAUGAAUCCUCAUCUGGUGAAGACUUGAUCUCUGUUCAGUGGGAAUCCCUCUCAGACCAUGUCAUGGAACAGUGGAAUACCAGCAUCUGCAUCGCUAAACUACUUUACAUUAGAGAUUUAUAACAGAACAGAUUAUUCCAACAAGCCAAGGAGUUUUUGGUAUUCAAUUUACAUAAUGCAUGAACUUGUAAAGGACCUUCAUCAAUAAAGCAGGAGGCUUGAAAUGAUGAGAGGAUCUCUGAAUUUAAUGUAUUUUUUCUGGUAUCGUCAAAAUAGUGAGACAGUAAUUAUUGUUGACAUUUCUCGACUGCCCACAUGCCAACUCUGUGUCAUUUGAGCAACGUGAUAUAGUCUUUGUGUCUUCUGAAAUUUCAGAGUGGCUUUAUUUUACUGUUUAAAUCUGGAUGAGCCAUUUCAAGUAUUGAUAAUUUUGUUAACUGCUGUGUAUUUGGCUUUGCUUUUUCAUAUUCUGGGGGAAGAAGUUAUCCCAGUCAGAAAUCAGUUACUGCUCUCAAUCUUUCCUGUUUUUAUUGUAAAACAUUGAAAGGAAGGUUAACAGACCACUGGAGAAAGCAAGACAGGGAAAAUUAUUGAUGGCGAAGACAUUUCAUGAGCUCUUAAGCUCAUUUCAAAUUCCUUAGUGCUAUUUAAUAGAGGCGUUAAUCUGUGUGGAAAAUUGUUACAAUGUCUCUUAAAAGAAUAUUUAAAGAAGAAUUAAUGAAAGGAAUUUAAUGAUGUUACUGCCUGCACUUUCUGGGUGGCAGUGAUUU